rnacentral:rRNA from 1 species
UACGUAGGGGGCGAGCGUUGUCCGGAGUUACUGGGCGUAAAGGGCACGCAGGCGGUCGCUCGCGUUUAGGCUGACAGCGCCUCGCUUCACGAGGUGAGUGGUCUAAAAACGGGGCGACUUGAGGCAUUCAGAGGGACACAGAAUUCCGGGUGGAGUGGUGAAAUGCGUAGAGAUCCGGAGGAAUACCAAAGGCGAAGGCAGUGUCCUGGGGAUGACCUGACGCUGAGGUGCGAAAGCCAGGGGAGCGAACGGGAUUAGAUACCCCGGUAGUCCUGGCCGUAAACGAUGACCACUAGGUGUGGGAGGUAUCGACCCCUUCCGUGCCGCCGUUCACGCUUUAAGUGGUCCGCCUGGGGAGUACGGUCGCAAGAUUAAA